rnacentral:piRNA from 1 species
UGGUAUGCAGACAGCAACAGGUUUAGC